AACGCAGAUUUGACAGGGAAAUCAGCAUGCUGGUUGGACAGCCCUGAGCCCCCUCCCAAGUCUCAUUCAAAGCAGGGGGCGUGGGGGUGGGACGUUAGCAAAGCGGGGGAGCAAAUGUCACACGGUGGUCACACGUGUUGUGUCAUGUGCCGAGCGGACCGACACGGAAACAUCGCAGCCCAGCUGCCCACUUCCGUGACCUUGGCAGAUACAAGCCGGGCGAGGACAGCCGACCUGAAGGCAGCAGAAGGGAUGUAAGGAGGGGUCGAGGCCCCCACCUGUUGGGGGCGACUCUCUUUAGGAGCAGGAGCUUCUCCACCGUUCUCCCUCUCAUCCGAAGGUACCCUCUAGCCAAAGACCUGAACCUCUACUCUGUGUAGAGAUUAAGAUCUCUUGUUACAAAGAAGAGAAAGGCCUCACAGGCUGGUCUCCUUCAAGUCACUUUAUCUUAACUCAGGUUCACACAACCACCAGGUUUUGCAGGUGCCAAUGGGGGGCUGGAGGGAGGCGUUAAACACCUCUUGUCUUUCCAGCCUCCGGCUUCCCCACCCAACUCAGUCACACGUUCUAGUUAAGAGCCAUGUGCUGGCCUGGCCAACACAGCUUCCAGACAGGUUUGCUGUGCCCCUGCCACACUAAACCCCCUUGGCCAUUAUCAAGUCGCGUUGCCCCGGUGGGGCUUUAGGAAGUGGUGCGCAGUCCAGCCACUGUUGCUUGAGGUCCUGUGCUGGCUGCUGCGAAGCAGGAGAUAAGAUGGGUCCAGGUCCCAGAUAAGAUGGGCCGUGCACCUGUCACCUCUUCCCUGUGAGCAGAUGUUCAAGAGAAAGACUCUAGCAGGAGCAAGGAGGAGCAUCCUGCGUGGACAAAAGAUAGCGGCCACCCCGUUCUCAUUCCUGAGGUCAAGGAGACCUCGGGAACUACACACUCACAGGAGGUUCCUCGGGGGUCAGAGAAGGGAGGGGCACCAGACCCCAGUACAUCUCGUCCACCUCCCAGGAACCCUGGGGGUGGAAUCCAUCGUGGCUGAAAGAGGGGCGCACACGCAGGGGAGGGCCCUGCGUCAGGCCAAAGGAUUGGGGGGGGUGGGGGUGGGGCUCAAGGCCAGACGAAGCAAGAUGAUUGGCCAGAGGGAGCCCGGAAGGACCGCCCCCACACAAGUGAUGGACGUGACCUCCAGAGCAGGUGCGACCUCUUCGGCUCUUGCUCUUUCUCCCUCUGUCUCUCUGCACACCCCCCGCAGAGCCUGUCUGUGCUUCGCCACCCCUACCUUCUCUCUCUUCUCUCUUGCACUUAUCUGCUCACUACCCUCAGGCUCUCUGCUAAAUUCUUUCUCCAAAGGGUCGAGUUCUGGGGGGCCUCCGUCAAGUGGUGAAGGUUCAGUGUUCUCACUCCACAGCCCCCCCCCCCAGAGCGGCUGGGGAGACAUCCUCUUGGGAGACCAGCCGUGGAGGCUGAAGUCUUAUGAGGAGACAGGCAGGCAGACAAGUAUCAUACGACAGAGUCUUGCCCCCGGGAGGCACUUCAGGAGGCCGAGUGGCUUCCUCUGUGUCUUAGCUCAUUCUCUGUGACAAAAGACCACAGCCUGCGUGGCUGAAACAACAGAUGUUUACCCUUCACAGCUCUGGGGGAUGCAAGUCCAAGAAAAGGCAUGAGAGGAUUCACUACAGCAACUCGGGAUACAAGCCGCAUCUGCAACCUACACCACAGCUCACGGCAACGCUGGAUCCUGAACCCACUGAAUUGGGCCAGGGAUCGAACCCCAUCCUCAUGGAAACAAGUCAGGUUUGUUACCGCUGAGCCACAAUGGGAACUCCGAUCAUCUUUUUAGAAAGGCUCUAAUUACCAUCCUGGGGGCUCUGCCCUCAGGACCACACCUAAACCUCAUCACCUGCCAGAGGUCCACCUCCAGAUGCCAUCACAGUGGGGUCGAGGCUCCAACCUGUGUAUCUGGAGGGGACACAAACAUUCAGCUCUUAGUUCCCAGGGUACCCAGCCCCAGAUGGGCCAGUUCCCUCUCCGGCCACAGCCCUGACCUUCUGGGCAUCUGUAUUUCCCACCCACUACGCCACCAUUUCUGUCCGUUUCUCUGAUUGAAACCACUGGGACAGCUGAAAACUACCUUUCACCCACCCUUCAGGGAGCCCCCCGGGUGCUGCCCCCCGGGGACGUCAGGGUCGCCCGGCCUGAGAGUCUUCUCCGUCUUCUCUAAAUGUCGCUUCCUGACCUUCUCCCGUCUUGGGCACAUUCUAAUACUUUCUGUGAAAAAUAUCCGUGAUUGCUAAUUUUCUGUGUCAGCUUGUCUGGACUGUUUGGUUAAACACUGGUCUGGAUGUUGCUGUGAAAGCAGCAUUUUUUUAAAGGCAGGAUUAACACUGAAAUCAGUAGACUUUAGGAGAAGCAUCCCCUCCAAAAUGGGGGCGGGCUCAAAGGGGAAAGUGUUGAGCCAAAGAGGGUUAUGCUCAAGCCUUACCAUCAAAUGGAAUUUACACUGCUGGGUUCCUGCCUUUAUUGGGACCCACAACCCUUUCUCCUUCCGAGUUCACCCACCUGGAAUGGGAAGGUCUAUCCUUCGAGGUCCAUCCUUUGAGGGUCCCACUGUAUUCUGGAAGCAGGUAACUUGUAGUCUGGUUUCAUGGGUUCCCAGAUGGAGAGGAAUUUUGCCCCAGGUGAAUCAUACCCCAAGCCAUGAUCACUCACUCCUUAUUUAGAUGAGAUUUAGGACUUAGACUUGAUACCGGAAUAAAUUAAGACUUGCAGGGCUCUUGGGAUAAGAUGAACAUAUUCUGCAUGUGAGAAGGGCCUGAAUUUUGGAGGGCUGGAGGGUGUACCAUCAUGGCUUAAAAUAUGUCCCGCAGAAUUGGUGUGUUGAAGCCCUAACCUCAGAACGUGACUGUAUUUGGAAAUAGGGUCACUGCUGAUAAAGUACGUUGAGACGAAGUCAUACUGAAGUAGAGUAUGGCCCCCUAACCCCAUAUGACUUGUGUCCUUAUUAAGAGGGAUGAUUUGGACAGACAGACAGACACACACGCACCAGGGAACACCUUGUGAAGACUGGAGCCCCGCUAUGACAAUCCAGGGAACUGCUAGAAGCUGGCAGAGAGGCAUGGAGCAGACAUUCCUCCAGAGCUUUCAGAGGGAGCACGGCCCCACCCACACCUUGAUGUCAGAUUCUAAUUUCCAGAACCGUGAAACAAUAUAUUUCUGCUAUUUAAGUCACCUGUUUGUAAUACUGUGUUGCAGCAACCCCACCAAACUAAUAGUGUCCCUUCCUUGUCACCUCUGCACUAGCCUGCUGGACCCUCACCUGGAAGCCCACCAUGCUGGACACGCCUGUGUCACAGAGGGGCGACAAGAGGUCCUGCCUCUUGGCCUCCCCGGCCUUUCCUUCCUGCCACUGACACAAAUAUCAACACACGCAGGAUGCAGCCACGUGGGGAUUGGUCUGGCCCCAAGUCUUACAGCAUGCUUUAAAAAUUAAGCCAAACAUCAUUAAGUGGCAUAAGCACUUUAAAAGUAUCUGAAACAUGGAAGUCCCAUUCCUCUGAAACACACGUUAGUGUGAAAAAGUGAAAGGAGAGAACACAGCCUCAAAAGUUGUGUCUUCUUUCUGUCCAUCAAAAUACUGGGAACGUGAGGUCCCAGUUACUCAAAAAGACCCAUGUGCUUCUUAACUAGCUCUGACCAGAAAGAUCCAGUUUCUUGUCUUUAUUCCAAAGACUGUGUCUGAUGGAACAUGGAAAAGAAAAACACCAGUUUAGGAAUUGAGGAGCUGGAUUCAAAGCCUGAUUGGGUUUCUAAUCAGCUCUGUGACCUGAGUUAAAAGACUCCUCAAGCUUUUUGAGCAUCACCUUUCUCAUCCAUAAAUGAAAGGAAAAACGCCUAUCUCAGAGGCUACAGACUUUGCUUUAAGUCACUUAUUUUCUCUGGCCUCUGGCUCCUGGAAAGGAGGGAGCAUUUCAGCAUAAAAUACUCAAGUCCUGGAGUGAGACUCCAUCCUUAUCGGCUGCAUGAGGAAGGUCUGCCAUGUGGAUGAUCCACCAGAAAGAAUAAAAAACUUGGGAGGGCAGGGAGCCCCCCUGGUCCCCAAGGCCAGGAGUGCCUGUCAGCCCCCCAGAGAGCAUCCAUGUUUUGUGGGGCCUGGAGUUUCACCAAUUUGGGGGCCCUUUUUAAAGGAGUGGAAAUCCUAAAUACAAAUAGAAAAGUAGGCAGGGGACACCAGGAGAGCGGAGCCAGGACCCUGGGCAGUGCAGAGAGAGAUGCGAAAAAGGACAGAGAGCAAAACAGAAAGAAAGAUUCUCCAACACCCACCCCGAGCUGAUUUAAUAUGGCUGGAGCAUCAGUAUAGUUCCAUUCAGGUGUUUGUAACCGACUACUGGCAAGAUCAGCUUCCCUUUUUGUUGUGGUUUUGUUUUGUUUUGCUUUUCUGUUAACUGGUUGGACACAAGUGCCUGUUCAGAUCUCAAAAUAUUUUGUCUAUUUUUUCCCUUAUGUGAUGCUAAGGAUGAAUUAUUUUCGUAUCAGAAAGCCCCCACAUGCCGCCAGGGCCCAGCUUUGGACCACAUGUGGAUCGGCCCGCUGGUCAUAGCAAACCUGGGCUGACCCACCAGCACCUGUUCCCACGAAGCCUGGGGACAGCUGUUCCUGCAGAGGAAGGGGACAGCACCAGGAACUUGGCCUGAAGGAAACCAGGUGUGGGAAGGAAGGAGCCGGUCAGACAUUCAGUCGGCACGUGCUGACUGAGCACACCACCACCGCGGUCACAUACCUGAAGCCCCGGAAGCCACAUAGGUGUGAGAAUUCAGAAUGUUCCAGAUUUUACCAGGACACUCUGAUGCACAAACCAUCUGAUAACAUCCCAGAGGGGUCUGAGGCAAAAUUCCUGGGUAUCGAACACGUCAGUAUUUCUUCACUCGUGGUAUCAGCAAAAUGUAUGGCUAUUCACUAAGUGGGAUAAACAGAGCCUUAUAUCCUUCACAUGUGGCCACCAAAGCAGUUAAAAAAUCUCUCUGUUUUCAGAGCCUUCUGGAUUUUAGAUUUAUGGAUACAGGACUGUGGACUUGGGCCAGGUGCCAAGAGGUGUUCAAAGUGCCCCAAGGCCCACAGACAGGCGUCCACAGAACCUGGGGGUCCUGCAAGGUGAAUAGGUCCCUCUCUGAGCCACAUCAGAUACAGGCAAAAGCCUCGUGGGAAGAAGGCAAGAUUUUAACAGAAAAAAAGGGAGCAAAACAAUAGAAACGGUGUGCUUAAAAAUAAAAUCUCUGCUAGAAAAAUCAUAUGAGGGAGUUCCCACUGUGGCUCAGCAGGUUAAGAACCCGACUAGUGUCCAUGAGGAUGCGGGUUCAAUCCCUGGCCCCACUCAGUGGGUUGGGGAUCUGGCGUUGCCAUGAGCUCUGGUAUAGAUUGAGACUCAGCUCCGAUCCAGCAUUUCUGUGGCUGUGGUGUAGGCUGGCAGUUGUAGCU
rnacentral:lncRNA from 1 species